AGGGACAGGAGCACACACCAUGAUUUCACACAUCCAGCUGAUCUGGCCCCUGGCAUUCUGUGUCGCAGGCCGUGAUAACUCUCAGCCCAAGCUGACCCUGCUGCCCCCCUCCCCGGAGCAGGUCAAUGUUAAGGGCACUGUUACCCUGGUGUGCCUUGCCAAUCACUUCUAUCCCGAUGAGCUGGAGGUGCAGUGGAAGAAGGACGGUGCAGUCAUUUCGGACGGGGUUCAGACCAGCAACUACCUGCGAGCUUCGGACAGCACCUACAGUGUCAACAGCCUGCUGACCCUCUCUGGGUCUGACUGGGAGUCCAAUGCUCGCUUCUCCUGUGCCCUCACCCACAUGACCCUCCCUUCUCCCCUCAGCAAGAGCAUCAGGAGAUCAGAAUGUGUGUAAAUGUUGGAGACAGUCCACAACUUUAAAUAGGACAGGGCUGAGCUGGCAGGACAAAGGUUAUUGUCAGCACUGAAUUUCAAUUCUCUUCCUUCUUGAGAAUGGUUCAGAGACACUUCUGAGGUUCAAGGGUUAAGGCAGGUCUUUGGGAUCAUCAAAAACAAGCUUUACUCUGUAUCAAACCCCAUGCUGAGCCUGUUUUAGGAGUGUUGAUUGGGCAGUGAAGACUAGUGAUGCCAAGUAAAACCUCUCGAAGAUGCGGAAAACUGUCAGCUGUACAAAACAAUGUGAACCUCAGAAGUCUCUGCUUCAGUAAACCAGAUCUCCUUCCUGCUCAGCUACCAGUUCCAAUUUAAGCUUCUGUCACUGGUUAAAGGGACAGGAUUCUUAUGUUAUUGAGAAAACCUCCACAAGUGUUUUCCUUAAGCUCCAUUGUGGCUGUGAAUUUGUGCAGCUUCCUCUG